AUGGCUUAGUGGUAAAGCGCUUGACUUCUGAAUCAAGAGGUUUUGAGUUUGAAUCUUGGU
rnacentral:tRNA from 1 species